AAUUAUUGUCAUUGUUGCUUUUUAUUUUUCUUUACUUUAGAUGGACCACAAGACUGCAAAAGAUAUUUGCGUUUUAAUUAAUUCAUAUAAAUGCCAAUCGAAGUCUUUAUUAAAUGGUGACAUUUACAAAAUUUUUUCUGAAAAUAAUUUUAAAUUAAAAAAACUUAUCAUUGGACCUCAAAAUGCAUCUGAUUUUGAAGUAUUCUCCAACAAUAUAAGAUACUUGCAUAAAAAAGAUAAAAAUCUUUAAAAAAAACCCUACCCAGUCAUGGGCUGCUAUUUUUAAUUUUUUGCAGCAACCAUUUAAAUAUGAAAGAAAAAGAAGUAGUUCUAAUACAAAUAUUCACUUAAAUGUUGCAAGUGAUUUAAAUAUUACUUCAGACACAAUGCAGAGAGUAAAAUGUGGUUCAUGCAAAAUAAAAAAAGAUGCAAUACGUAGUUUACAAGAAAAAAACAGAAAAUUGCAGCAGAGAGUUCUUUUUUUGAAAAAAUCAAUGACCUGUAACAAGCUUACAAACAAAAAAUUUAAAAGGCAGUAUUUUUCACUAAAAUUGUGGAAAUUGAAAUAUUCAGAAGAAAAAAAAAAAAAACAGUUCAGCAGAAUAAGUUUCAUUCUCUAGAUUUCAUUAAUGAAUUGAGAAUUCUUAAAAUUAGUAGAACGAAGUUGCAACAAAAUGUUAAAAAGAUAGAAAAGAAACACAAAAUUGCAAUCAAAGAAUUACAGGAACAGAUAAAAAUCAAAGAGCAAGAAAAUAAACAACUUGUAGAACAAUAUCAUUAUUUAACUAGUAUUGUUUUAGAAAAAAAAAAAGAUAAUAGGUUACUUAUAGAAACCAAAAAAUUAAAAACAUAUGACCUACCCAUAAGAAAAUGUGUUUAUGCUGCUAUUAUUAACAAUGCGCCUGUGGAAAGUGUCUCAUUUUUGUUAAAAAAAAUUUCUGAACUAUUACACAACACAGAACUGCAAGAAACACCUCACUCAUCCACAGUAAAUCGAAUGGCAUAUGAGCCAGGUGUUUUAGCAUUGGUUCAGGCUGGUGAGGCACUUUUUCAAAGAAACUGAUGGGGUUGCAGUAACAGUCCUUAAAAAUAUUUCUAAGCUAAGGUAUAGUUUUAAAGGCAAUCCUGCAGCAUUCAAAAGCUAUCUUAAAAAAAACAAUGUUGCUCCAGGGCUAUUCAUUAGAUAUGUUGGUAAUAGAUUUCAUGUUUUGUUCCAUAUGGCAGGGAUUAUUGUUACAUGCGAAAGACUUAUAAAAACCUUUCUUGAAAACAACGCCAAAAAUAAAAUUUGCCAGCUCCUACUUCAAAAUAUGAGUAAUGAUAUAACGCUUGUGCAACUGCAAGGGUUGGGCCUGAUAGGAAAAAUAAUAACUGGGCCAUGGAUGAGUCUGGUUUAUAAAAAUGCAACAGGAAAGUAAUCUUGAGUUUGGUGACAUUUUCCAGAAAGCAAUAAGGAAAUUAGCUUACUUCAAAAGUAAUCCAGAAUCAAUUCUUUAUACAGAUGUGGAUAUUUUUAGUCAAGUAUUAAAUAUCAAAAAAGAUAAGGUACACCAAUCCCUUCGUGUAAUAAAAAAUAAAACUAUUUUGGUAAAGAUUUUAUCAGCUUUGAUAAGCUACACAGAGACAGUUCUCAAAAGACAGAUGGCCAGGUAUUUGACUGGCAAUCUCUCAAAUCUAUCUAAAGAAAUGAUAAAAGCCACACUAUCUGCUCCACCUCAUACAAUGGAGGCUGAAAGGAUCUUGGGCAUGCUUGAUUUUUUUUUUUGCGUCGUGCUCCUAAUGCUACUUUUGGUUUUUUGGAUUCUAAGAUAAAAGCCAGGGUAAACAAAACAUUAACAUGGCUUGAUGAGAAAACAUUGCCAGAACAAGAAGAUUUUAUUCAAUUUGCAAUUCGCAGAGGAGCUUUAAUGUGUCAAGCCUCUAAAAAUUUUAAUAAUCUUUUGUAUGGAGAAAUAGGAAAAAGAUGCGCCAAGCUAAUUUAAAAAAAGAACGUCUGGAAAAAAAGCAACUAGAGAAGGAUAUUAAAAAAGCAAUAGCUGAAAAUGCCAAAACCACAAAUCCUCUUUUUGUUAAUAUUGAGGAAAAACAAAAACAAAUUUUAGGAGUAAUUUUGAAAAAUGGAAACUUGAUAGGGCAGCUCUUAAGCCAUAAAUAACAGCUAGAUGAUGGUAAUAUACAUUUAUUUUUUGGUAGAAUUGUUGAUCAAAAGGUAGCAACAAAAAAAAAAUCUAUUACAUACACAAUAGUAUAUUGGAAAGUCAACGAAGAUGAAGCUGAAGAUAUUGACAUAAGCCAGGAAGGAGUUAUAGCAGAUCUAAUACUUAAAGACUUGGAGUUCAUUUAAAAAUUACUAUAAUAUAUUAGGCAUUA
rnacentral:lncRNA from 1 species